rnacentral:sRNA from 12 species
AAAGCGUUUGGGAAUGUCAAAAGUAUUGACAUUG